UAUCAAUAUUUAUUAGCAUAUGCACUAUCCUGAUAUAGCAUGCAGGUUUUUAUAAUUAUUUUGCUUGCUCAAUAGUUUAAAGCUCUUGCAGAUCAGUUGUUCCAUAAUCCAGAAUAUCACAAAUAUGUAAGGAAGCAGGUCGUCAAACAGAAAUUUAUAUGAAGGCUACAUUCCGAUGAAGUACAGAAGUUAUUUGAAGACAAUGGAGAGGUUCAAGUGAUUGGACUUUUGUGUAGAACUCGUCAGAAAAAUAUCAGAAGUGAGUUACUUAGAAUGAGUUGCUGCAUGUGGUGGGUGCAUUUAAAAGGCCUGGAUGUGACAAAAGUUAAUCUUCGAGGAGCAAACCUCAACGACAUAGAUUUGAUUAUGUACUUUACACGCUUUACAGGCUUUGAUUAUGUACUUGAUAUUUAUAUUAGAUGAAUGUGUAGUAGUUGAUCGAUAUUUGAUUUGAUGGAUGUGUAGUCGGUGAGAUUGGAAUUGAUGGAUGUAUAGAGUACAAUUGAUUUAUAUAUGCAUUAAUAAGAUUUAGGUGUU